rnacentral:rRNA from 1 species
GAACGAACGCUGGCGGCAGGCUUCAUACAUGCAAGUCGAGCGGAAAGGCCCCUUCGGGGGUACUCGAGCGGCGAACGGGUGAGUAACAGGUGGGUAAUCUGCCUUUCGGAGGGGGAUAACGGCUGGAAACGGCCGCUAAUACCCCGUACGGUUGUGAAGCUCUCGGGCUUUGCAAAGAAAGGGGCCUUUAAAGCCCCGCCGAAAGAUGAGCCCGCCCCCCAUUAGCUAGUUGGCGGGGUAAUGGCCCACCAAGGCUGUGAUGGGUAGCCGAGCUGAGAGGUUGAUCGGCCACACUGGAACUGAGACACGGUCCAGACACCUACGGGUGGCAGCAGUAGGGAAUAUUGCGCAAUGGGCGAAAGCCUGACGCAGCCAUGCCGCGUGGAUGAUGAAGGCCUUCGGGUCGUAAGGUCCUUUUCUGAGGGAAGAACUGCCGGGGGAGGAAAUGCCCUUGGCUUGACGGUACCUCAGGAAUAAGCAACGGCUAACUCCGUGCCAGCAGCCGCGGUAAUACGGAGGUUGCAAGCGUUGUUCGGAAUGACUGGGCGUAAAGGGAGCGCAGGCGGCCAAGUCAGUCUGAAGUGAAAGCCCGGGGCUUAACCCCGGAAUAGCUUUGGAUACUGCCUGGCUUGAGUGUGCGAUAGGAAAGCGGAAUUCCAGGUGUAGCGGUGAAAUGCGUAGAUAUCUGGAGGAACACCGGUGGCGAAAGCGGCUUUCUGGCGCAUAACUGACGCUGAGGCUCGAAAGCGUGGGGAGCGAACGGGAUUAGAUACCCCGGUAGUCCACGCCGUAAACGUCGUGCACUAGGUGUGGGAGGUAUCGACCCCUUCCGUGCCGAAGCUAACGCAUUAAGUGCACCGCCUGGGGAGUACGGUCGCAAGACUGAAACUCAAAGGAAUUGACGGGGGCCCGCACAAGCGGCGGAGCAUGUGGUUUAAUUCGAAGCAACGCGAAGAACCUUACCAGGUCUUGACAUCCAUCUAAAGCUGCGGAGACGCAGUGUGAGCAAGCUCGAGAUGAGACAGGUGGUGCAUGGUUGUCGUCAGCUCGUGUCGUGAGAUGUUGGGUUAAGUCCCGCAACGAGCGCAACCCUUGCCGGUAGUUACUAACGGGAAGAGCCGAGGACUUUACCGGGACCGCCGGGGACAACUCGGAGGAAGGUGGGGACGACGUCAAAUCAUCAUGCCCCUUAUGACCUGGGCUACACACGUGCUACAAUGGCCGAGACAGAGGGCAGCGAAGGCGCGAGCCGGAGCGAAUCUCAAAAAAGCGGUCACAGUUCGGAUUGCGGGCUGCAACCCGCCCGCAUGAAGCAGGAGUUGCUAGUAAUCGCGAAUCAGCAUGUCGCGGUGAAUACGUUCCCGGGCCU